UACGGAGGGGGCUAGCGUUGUUCGGAAUUACUGGGCGUAAAGCGCACGUAGGCGGCUUUGUAAGUUAGAGGAGAAAGCCCGGGGCUCAACUCCGGAAUUGCCUUUAAGACUGCAUCGCUCGAAUUGUGGAGAGGUAAGUGGAAUUCCGAGUGUAGAGGUGAAAUUCGUAGAUAUUCGGAAGAACACCAGUGGCGAAGGCGACUUACUGGACACAUAUUGACGCUGAGGUGCGAAAGCGUGGGGAGCAAACAGG
rnacentral:rRNA from 1 species